rnacentral:rRNA from 1 species
GAUGAACGCUGGCGGCGUGCUUAACACAUGCAAGUCGAACGAAGUGGCGAAUGGGUGAGUCAUACGAGGGUAACUUGCCCUCCUUUUUGGGAUAAGCCUUGGAAACGUGGUCUAACACCGAUUAGAGGGUGAUGGGCUCGCGGCCUGUCAGCUUGUUGGUGGGGUGAUGGCCUACCAAGGCGGUGACGGGUAGCCAGCCUGAGAGGGUGAACUGCAACAGUGAGACUGAGAUGCGGCCCAGACGCCUACGAGGGGCAGCAGUGGGGGAUAUUGCACAAUGGGCGAAAGCCUGAUGCAGCGACGCCGCGUGAGGGAUGAAGGCUUUCGGGUUGUAAACCUCUUUAGCUAUCGAACGGGUAGGAAGAGAAGAAGCACCGGCUAACUACGUGCCAGCAGCCGCGGUAAUAC